UACAGAGGGGGCAAGCGUUGUUCGGAAUUACUGGGCGUAAAGGGCGCGUAGGCGGCCGCCUAAGUCAGACGUGAAAUCCCUCGGCUCAACCGGGGAACUGCGUCUGAUACUGGGUGGCUUGAAUCCGGGAGAGGGAUGGCGGAAUUCCAGGUGUAGGCAGGUGAAAUGCGUAGGAUAUCUGGAGGAACACCGGUGGCGAAGGCGGCAUCCUGGACCGGCAUUGACGCUGAGGCGCGAAAGCCAGGGGA
rnacentral:rRNA from 1 species